UACGUAGGCAGCAAGCGUUGUUCGGAGUUACUGGGCGUAAAGGGUGCGUAGGCGGCGCGGUAAGUCGGGUGUGAAAUCUCGGAGCUUAACUCCGAAACUGCAUUCGAUACUGCCGUGCUUGAGGACUGGAGAGGAGACUGGAAUUUACGGUGUAGCGGUGAAAUGCGUAGAUAUCGUAAGGAAGACCAGUGGCGAAGGCGGGUCUCUGGACAGUUCCUGACGCUGAGGCACGAAGGCCAGGGGAGCAAACGGG
rnacentral:rRNA from 1 species